rnacentral:rRNA from 1 species
GAGUUUGAUCAUGGCUCAGAUUGAACGCUGGCGGCAUGCCUAACACAUGCAAGUCGAACGGUAACAGGUCUUCGGAUGCUGACGAGUGGCGGACGGGUGAGUAAUGCGUAGGAAUCUGUCUUUUAGUGGGGGACAACCCAGGGAAACUUGGGCUAAUACCGCAUGAGCCCUGAGGGGGAAAGCGGGGGAUCUUCGGACCUCGCGCUAAGAGAGGAGCCUACGUCCGAUUAGCUAGUUGGCGGGGUAAAGGCCCACCAAGGCGACGAUCGGUAGCUGGUCUGAGAGGACGACCAGCCACACUGGGACUGAGACACGGCCCAGACUCCUACGGGAGGCAGCAGUGGGGAAUUUUUCGCAAUGGGGGCAACCCUGACGAAGCAAUGCCGCGUGGAUGAAGAAGGCCUUCGGGUUGUGAAGUCCUUUCGUGGAGGACGAAAAGGUGGGUUCUAAUACAAUCUGCUAUUGACGUGAAUCCAAGAAGAAGCACCGGCUAACUCCGUGCCAGCAGCCGCGGUAAUACGGGGGGUGCAAGCGUUAAUCGGAAUCACUGGGCGUAAAGGGUGCGUAUGCGGUACGUUAGGUCUGUCGUGAAAUCCCCGGGCUCAACCUGGGAAUGGCGG